UGGCGGACGGGUGAGUAAUGUCUGGGAAACUGCCUGAUGGGAGGGGGUAACUACUGGAAACGGUAGCUAAUACCGCAUAACGUCGCAAGACCAAAGAGGGGACCUUCGGGCCUCUUGCCAUCGGAUGUGCCCAGAUGGGAUUAGCUAGUAGGUGGGGUAACGGCUCACCUAGGCGACGAUCCCUAGCUGGUCUGAGAGGAUGACCAGCCACACUGGAACUGAGACACGGUCCAG
rnacentral:rRNA from 1 species